CACACCUGAUGUUAAGCGGUGACUCUGUAAAUAACGACCGUUUCUAUGCAACGGCUCGGUAAACACGUUUCCACGACAACUACUACGCACGCAACAAUUGAGUUACUUUUGGAAGCGAGGGUGUUUCUGUGCGGUCCGUGUUGAGAUGUUAAAAGCAGGAAGGUCAAGCGAGGAUGACUACUGUCCCCCAGAGGACGUGGAGUUCAUUCAAGAGGCAGUCCUCAAGGUGCUGAGACAGAUGUACUCCCCAGUGAAGCUCACCCUGGCUUACAAAGAAGAGGAAGCCGACUGACUCAUUGAUGUGAACCCACCCACAUUGCUGACCACACAUGUCCGCCAACAGAGUGCUCCAGAACCAUUUCAGUAGCUAUACAAAUGGCCUACAACGUAUUUUGUAAUACAUAUCAGCGAAUUAAUACGAAUACACACGAAUUAAUAUUAUUUUUAAAUGUGUUUUGUUUUAGUAGAAUUUUUUAGUCGAUGUGAAUGUUUCUGUAAUAAGCAAGUGAAAUGAUAAUCAGCUUUCACGACAGCAUAGAUACUACAUGGCUUGAGAUGAAGAAACUGAAAAGAUUUGAUUGGAAGUUUAUUUUUAUAUGACGUAGGCCUAUAUGACAAUAGAUAAACAACUACCUCAAAUAUGUAGCCAGAUGCUGUUAUUUUUAUUACUGCAUUUUAAUAAUAGUUAAUUAUUACAUAUACAUAUCAUAUUUUUCAAAACAGGUUACAUCCAAACUGCAGUCAUUUUCACGAAAGUUACAAGUGCAUUGACCAUGACAAAGGAUAUACGGUCAUACUGACAGAAAAGUCUCUGAGAUGUUGUUUCCGAACAUGGCGAUAUGUGUUUGUCUUUAGUGUUUGUUUAAUUUAAUAUACAUUGCUGAAAGCAAUUAUGGGAAACCAUAAUUAAGAGUUUUCACUUCAAUAAUAUUGAAAAAUAGUCUCUCUGAGUUUAAUCAUAAUUUCUACAGUCGCCUGAAAACAUAUUUAUGCACAAAACAACUUUUUUUGGAAUUAAAUUUCCAAUUACUAUGUUCUGUAACAUUCUUGCAAAUGUUGCAACGUAACUCAGGAAGUUGAAAUACGAUUUCUUCUUAAGAAGAAUUCAAUUUGUCCUAUGUAGACCCUUUUCGAUUACGACUAUAAAUCCGAAUUAUUUUGCCAAAAGUUCAAGUUGUCUGAACGAUACACUUGUACCAGUUUACAAAAAUAGUAUUCACAUAGCAGUCAGUGCUAUAAGAAGCAAUCUGGCAUACAAGUUCCAGAAAUGCAACAUUAAUUUCGUUCACAAAUUGGCAUCAUUUUCUGAUUUCAACGUAACUAUGUAAGUCCCCCUGUACUCACUGAACCACCUAUAUUUAUGCAAUAAAACUAAGACUAAAUUUUAUUUGUCAAAAUUGUCCAUUAUAAUUAACAGACAUUGAAAUGUCUUUCCGUCUCUUGAAAUAAAUAAGACAGAAAUUGGUGUAUUUGAGUACACCUCCCCUUAGUUGCAGCCACGAGAAUGAAUUCUGGAACUUUAUUAUGCCUUUUCAAAAUCAGGUUUGUUUUCAGGUAUCUUCAUGCCAAUAGCAUCAAACCCUAUUUUAAAUCGAGUUAUGGAACAACUGGGAAACAUUCUUAUUCUUGCUGUUUUCACAAGCACAAUAAAAUAUUGCUCUAGUUACAUGUAAUAGGUUUAAGAUUUUUGUUUCGUGUUUUACUUUAUAUUUUAAUUUAUAUCAUUUUGUCAUGACAGUCUUAAAACUAAAGAUUAAUUAAAUUGUGUAAUCAGUAGGUGUUAGGUGUACUAUGUUUAGUAAGUAGAAGUACAAGUUUUGUUGUGUUCUCAGCUGCUGUGUGAGCCAUUUUGUGGUCUGUCUGUUGUGAGGUUUGUAACAGCUAAAUCAAUUAUAUUAAACUGAAGUAGGAAAAAUUUUUUAAACCUUCGAUGUUAUUUCAGUUUGUCAAUGUAUUUCUUCUUUCUUUUUAAAUAAAAAUAACUUUUGCACU